rnacentral:tRNA from 1 species
GCUUUCGAAGUGUAACUGGUAGCACAUUCGACUAGCAACCGAAAAAUCCGGAGUUUGAAUUCCAGCGAAAGUA